AUUGAACGCUGGCGGCAGGCCUAACACAUGCAAGUCGAGCGGAUGAAGGGAGCUUGCUCCUGGAUUCAGCGGCGGACGGGUGAGUAAUGCCUAGGAAUCUGCCUGGUAGUGGGGGAUAACGUCCGGAAACGGGCGCUAAUACCGCAUACGUCCUGAGGGAGAAAGUGGGGGAUCUUCGGACCUCACGCUAUCAGAUGAGCCUAGGUCGGAUUAGCUAGUUGGUGGGGUAAAGGCCUACCAAGGCGACGAUCCGUAACUGGUCUGAGAGGAUGAUCAGUCAAACUGAAACGGGAACAGGGUCCGACUCCUUAGGGAGGGAACCGGGGGGAAUAUUGGACAAUGGGCGAAAGCCUGAUCCAGCCAUGCCGCGUGUGUGAAGAAGGUCUUCGGAUUGUAAAGCACUUUAAGUUGGGAGGAAGGGCAGUAAGUUAAUACCUUGCUGUUUUGACGUUACCAACAGAAUAAGCACCGGCUAACUUCGUG
rnacentral:rRNA from 1 species